GCGCCCUGGAACACUCGGGGGCGCCGCGGGACCCAGAAUUCCCGGGGCCAUGGGAGAGACCAUCGGCUCUAACGGAGGGGGGCGUCCCGGGGUGGUGGGGCGGAGUCUGUGUCGUCAAACGGGCAGGAAGUUCCCGUGAGUCUUUGCCAGGAUUACCCUCCCUUCUGUGAGGAAUGGAAUGUUCCGAGUCCUUAAAGGCCCGGGACGCCACAGAAGCGACCUUUCUAUUAUCAUGAUAAUGGAGGUAAGUGGUGUUUGUAGUUGGGGACCAGUAGCAGGCGGCAAAGGCGAAGGAGCUAAAAGCUUCUUAAUUCCUGGGAAGAAGUUCUCGGGAAGCUUCAGUGGGGGGCGCAAGGCGGCUCCCUGUGGCGCGUCUCCGGCCUUCGGGGCGGCGGUGGGGAGAGUCGCGUGGGGCCUAAGAGGGCCGAGGCUCAAGGCCCGCGCGCGUGUCUGUCCCCCUGCGGUCCCCGAAGGCCGGGCCCCCGUUCCCCGGACCCGGCGUGGGAGGUGCGCCAACCCCGGAGGACUGGGUUGCAGAUGAGCGUGGGGUCGCCAGUGUGAUCAGAUCAGCAGCAGCCAAGUGUUCGAGGGAUGAGCCAUUGGCCUGCCUUGAGGUAAGCUUUGGUGUGUGGGACAGAUUGUGGAGCUGUUAGGUGAUGCGAAGUUCCGGUUAGGUUAGGUAGUAGUAGCACAUUGAUCUGGUUAACCUAAUAACUUGUAUCAGUGUAGCCCUUGACCUUUAUCGACAGGAUCCCAGAGAUACUGAUUAUGGCUCAUGGUGGCCGUGAAGCAGAGUGCAGAGGAAGCCCGGGAGUUCUUUUUACCUCACUGCUGUAAAAUCCUGCGCAAAUUGCCUAUCGGCUGAGAUGUACCUUUCCUCAUCCUUGAAGAUGACAGCUUUAGGUGUGUGAGGUUUAAAAUGAUGGGAUAAAAUGAGGUUGCAGCACCCAAAGAAGCCAGUUAGGACUUGGGGGCUUAACAUGGCUUCAUUUACCAAAGAACCACCUUCAGUAGGUUCUUAAGGGCUCCUCUGAGGAUGAACUGGAAUUUGUAGUCAGAAUUGCUCUUCUGCCUUUGGCAUCUGCUGCCUGUCUAGGGGUGCCUUAAUUCAUUCCCCCAGGUUGUGCGCUGAGGUGCUGAAGAAUGGUGAUGUGCAGCGUGCAGUUUUAAAGCCGGUGGCCGCGGCUCAGCCCAAGGAGCGGUAAGCUUUCACCUUACCUCCCCCCGUGGUAGAAUGAAUAAGCACCUAGUUUUGUUAAAAUUGAUUUUCAGAAAAAGGAUAUCAGAUGAUGAAAUCACCCAAAAUAGCUGGAAUUACCGGCAGAUUGUAUAGUGGUGAACGUAUGGUUUUCUGAAGAUGACCUUUUUAUGCUGUGAUUAACUGUUGGUUGGAGUAGAAAGUGACACUCAUACUUAGUUUCUUUGCAGGCUGUUUUCCCAGAGAACGGUCAGCCACGCUACAGCAGGGGAAGAACUUGUUUCGAGGACCAGUGGUCGCCAUCAGUUUGGACUGGAAACCCAGGCCUCAACAGUGGGUGUGGAAGCAGUGCUUACCUUGUGCGGAGAUUCAAAGGCCAUUCUCUUAACCAACAGAACCAACAAAUGUGUUUGGCAAAUUUUCUAGGAUAGGCACUGUUGGUGUCGUUGAAUUCAUGAGUUUUCUAAUAAUGUAUUACAAAUAACUGUAUUUUUAGCUCCCCUGCCCAAAGAGCUGCUAUACUUGUAAAUUUUGUAUAAAUUUGUUCUAUUGGGUGAGGGUCUGAGUUCUUAAAGCUGCAGAUAUAUUUCUUCCUGGAACUGAUAUUUCUCUGUGCAAUUACCACAAACUGCAAUAAAGGAUGGUCUUUAGUACUGGUUUUUAAAAAU
rnacentral:lncRNA from 1 species